rnacentral:lncRNA from 1 species
CAUGCUGUGAUAUAGAGAUUCCUGAUUUUGAUGCUUACAAUAGAUGAGAAUGAGUCAACUUGUGUUGUUUGCAUUGAUAAAGGUUUAGAUUGCAAGAGGUUUUUUUUUUUCUCCCCUAGAGUAUUACUUUAGAGUAAAAGCAAUACUGUGAAGAGUAUAAAUGUUCUAGCACAAUUGUUGCUUUUUCUACAUUGAGUAAUUAGCUCAAUUUUCUAGAAAGUAUGCAAGUGAUGACAUAGAUUUUUCUAGGUGCAAGGGGUCAAGAACUAGAGUUACUAAUAACUCUGCCUAUAACCUGUGAUUGGUCCAUGACAGCCUCAUAGUAAAUUGUGGCCACAACUAUUUGAUCAUGGACACACCUAAAAACUGUCUAUUCAGUAUGUGACUCUUGAAAAGAAUCCCUGAAGUUUAAGAUGUCCUGUUGAUUAACGUUGCUGUUUCUAGAUGGGGGAGAGAAGUGAGAGGGCUGUUUUUGUCUUCGAAUCAAUAUUUCUUUUCCUCCAAAGUACAAAUUAAACCUCAAAUUUUCCUUUCAUUAAACCUGGCUAAGUUUUUAAAAAGUAUUUCUAGGCCUUCCUCAUGUAUAUAAACUAUAUGUGACUACAUCAUUUCUAGGAUUAUUUUAUACUUCUGUAUCCUGUGAUUUGAGAAAUCUGAUCGUAGCCAUAUGGCUUUUGAGUAUACAUAAAAAAUCCCAUGCCUUCCCUAACUAGAAAAUAUAUGCCUGGCAAGGACACUCACUUCUACUUUUUUUUUUAAACAAAAGAAAAUUUAGAAAUGUUUUAGAGCUCGAACAAGGCACACAUCAUC